AAACUCCUCUUGGGAGGCCAGGGAACAGAGCGCUGUUGCACCUUCCUACCGGGUUACGGGGUUCCUACCAGCCAGGUCGCAACCUCAGCCCAGUAGGCUCAUCUUAAGGACAAGAACGGUGGGUAGGUGUUAUUCUUAUUUCCCGGCUUCAAAUAACAAGAGAAAUAAGCUGCCUCUGGAAUCCUCCCAUUUUGAUAACAGGCAAGAAGAAUCUAAGGCGGAGGAGGAAGGUUUGAUCCUGGGGAUUUUGAAAGCAAUGAAACUCUGAGCCUGGCUGCACCAUUCUCGGGCUUGCCUUGAUGGUAACUUCCGGAGGAAACUUUGAAGAGAAGGGCGAUUCUGAGAAAAAUCCCCUGCACCCACUUUUACCACCCGGGUCACAGUUCUCUCAUUGUCCCUAGCAAACUGUCCCCGUGGCCUCUGUCCCGCCUAACACAGCUCAGUUGGGGGGUGGGUGCGAGGGGUGGGGACUAUAGCCUGUGAUGCUCCAGCAGGAGCAGCUGGCCUAGGAGGGAGUCUCUCCCUGCGCCGCUUAGCACCGCCUCACUGCGUGGCUCCGCCCAAUAGCUGCUUAGCACUCUUUCAACGACACCCAGAAAUUCUGACGUACCCUCCCCCUCUCCUCCCGGGGACGAAGGCCUGGCUUGUGACGCCCGCUCCAAAAGGCAUGAGACUGAUGCGGGUUUCCCCGGGUGCCCGGGCCUCUCCAAACUGGGAGAGCUUGCCGGAGGUGCCCACCGAGGGGCGACCCAGGACUGCGCUUGGUCACCCACGAUGCCCACGUACCGGAUCCGCGGCUCGCACCGCCCAGCGUGUAGCCAGCCUGCGGCGCGCUUCCGGGUAGGACACGUGACUCAGCCACAUGACCGGGGCCUGCUUUGUGGGUUCGAGCCCCGCCCCGUCAGGCAUUGCUCACCCUUCAGGCUACUGUGCUUGCUGGUCACCCGCCGCUAGGGAGCCGUGCCACGUUCACCCUGGCAUAAGUAGGUAUCUCACUGCCUUUAGAGGCACCAGCUGAGCCGGUGACAUUUCUAGAGUCUCUUUUGCUUGAUUUAGCUAAAGGGAUUCCCCACAGAUUUACAGAAGGGGCAACUGAGAACCCCGAGGGAACCCCCUUGCUGAAGAAGGAACAAAUGGAACCAGAACCCAGGUUUCCUUGCACCUUCACCUGGCCCUUCCCAGCCUUUCGUUUUCUUGCCGAAUCUAGUUGUAGGUGAAAGGUACCCUUUUUGUGGGUGCUUUCCCUUACUUACCUCCAGGGGGCGGAACCCGUGUGUCUUAGUCAGGGUUUCUAUUCCUGCACAAACAUCAUGACCAAGAAGCAGUUUGGGGAGGAAAGGGUUUAUUCGGCUUACACUUCCAUACUGUUGUUCAUCACCAAAGGAAGUCAGGACUGGAACUCGAGCAGGUCAGGAAGCAGGAGCUGAUGCAGAAGCCAUGGAGGGAUGUUCUUUACUGGCUUGCUCAGCCUGCUCUCUUAUAGAACCCAAGACCACCAGCCCAGAGAUGGUCCCACCCACAAGGGGCUUUUCCCCCUUGAUCACUAAUUGAGGAAAUGCCUUACAGCUGGAUCUCAUGGAGGCAUUUCCUCAACUGAAGCUCCUUUCUCUGUGAUAACCCCAGCUGUGUCGAGUUGACACAAAACCAGCCAGUACACCAUGCAGAAGAGCCCAGCUACCUUUGGGCUCCUUGAUUUACAAAGGUUCCCAGUCUGACUGAGGGCUGCAUACACAUUAGGGCUUUUGUCUUGAACCUGCGAGUGAUUGCAUACUAUCAAGAUUUUUAUGUGUAUUUGGAGGGGCAGAAAGAGUGAAGAAGGCCAAUGGAGUCCACAGAAGAGGUUGGGCGCCUACCACAGGUCCUCAUUGGGUACCUUGGUGCUUCUGAGAAACUUUGUGUACGACCCAGCAUGAGCACUCCGCACCCACUAGGCAGAGGCCAAGAGCCAGUGCUGCGGCCACUCUAGCUACCUAAGGUACAAUUAAACAACAUCGCAAACGCCUGCGCCUGCGCCUUCGCCACCACCCUGCUCAGCCAGGCUCCACAGUACAGCCACAAGCAUCAGUCUCCUGGAGUCCUGAAUCUGCCGACACUAUCCUGACUUCGGUCGGUCAUUUCCCCCUUGUUUCAAACAGUUUGUAAGCCUGAAUAACUGUUACCCGUGAACAAUUUAUAACUAAUCUAGUCCAUGUUACCUGAUGCUAGUGACUUGUGUCUUGCAGAUGACUAAAGAAUGGCGCCGAUCAUCUCUUCAUGUGGUUUUUCUCUUCAUUUGUGUAGCUUUAAAAUUUUUUUUGCUUUCAAAUAAACAUUUAUUCAUA